GGCGGAGUAGCUCAGUUGGCUAGAGCACACGGUUCAUACCCGUGGUGUCGAGGGUUCGAAUCCCCCCUCCGCUA
rnacentral:tRNA from 1 species